rnacentral:rRNA from 1 species
ACACUAACUGGAGGACCGAACCGACUAAUGUUGAAAAAUUAGCGGAUGACUUGUGGCUGGGGGUGAAAGGCCAAUCAAACCGGGAGAUAGCUGGUUCUCCCCGAAAGCUAUUUAGGUAGCGCCUCGUGAAUUCAUCUCCGGGGGUAGAGCACUGUUUCGGCAAGGGGGUCAUCCCGACUUACCAACCCGAUGCAAACUGCGAAUACCGGAGAAUGUUAUCACGGGAGACACACGGCGGGUGCUAACGUCCGUCGUGAAGAGGGAAACAACCCAGACCGCCAGCUAAGGUCCCAAAGUCAUGGUUAAGUGGGAAACGAUGUGGGAAGGCCCAGACAGCCAGGAUGUUGGCUUAGAAGCAGCCAUCAUUUAAAGAAAGCGUAAUAGCUCACUGGUCGAGUCGGCCUGCGCGGAAGAUGUAACGGGGCUAAACCAUGCACCGAAGCUGCGGCAGCGACGCUUAUGCGUUGUUGGGUAGGGGAGCGUUCUGUAAGCCUGUGAAGGUGUGCUGUGAGGCAUGCUGGAGGUAUCAGAAGUGCGAAUGCUGACAUAAGUAACGAUAAAGCGGGUGAAAAGCCCGCUCGCCGGAAGACCAAGGGUUCCUGUCCAACGUUAAUCGGGGCAGGGUGAGUCGACCCCUAAGGCGAGGCCGAAAGGCGUAGUCGAUGGGAAACAGGUUAAUAUUCCUGUACUUGGUGUUACUGCGAAGGGGGGACGGAGAAGGCUAUGUUGGCCGGGCGACGGUUGUCCCGGUUUAAGCGUGUAGGCUGGUUUUCCAGGCAAAUCCGGAAAAUCAAGGCUGAGGCGUGAUGACGAGGCACUACGGUGCUGAAGCAACAAAUGCCCUGCUUCCAGGAAAAGCCUCUAAGCAUCAGGUAACAUCAAAUCGUACCCCAAACCGACACAGGUGGUCAGGUAGAGAAUACCAAGGCGCUUGAGAGAACUCGGGUGAAGGAACUAGGCAAAAUGGUGCCGUAACUUCGGGAGAAGGCACGCUGAUAUGUAGGUGAAGCGACUUGCGGAUGGAGCUGAAAUCAGUCGAAGAUACCAGCUGGCUGCAACUGUUUAUUAAAAACACAGCACUGUGCAAACACGAAAGUGGACGUAUACGGUGUGACGCCUGCCCGGUGCCGGAAGGUUAAUUGAUGGGGUUAGCGGCAACGCGAAGCUCUUGAUCGAAGCCCCGGUAAACGGCGGCCGUAACUAUAACGGUCCUAAGGUAGCGAAAUUCCUUGUCGGGUAAGUUCCGACCUGCACGAAUGGCGUAAUGAUGGCCAGGCUGUCUCCACCCGAGACUCAGUGAAAUUGAACUCGCUGUGAAGAUGCAGUGUACCCGCGGCAAGACGGAAAGACCCCGUGAACCUUUACUAUAGCUUGACACUGAACAUUGAGCCUUGAUGUGUAGGAUAGGUGGGAGGCUUUGAAGUGUGGACGCCAGUCUGCAUGGAGCCGACCUUGAAAUACCACCCUUUAAUGUUUGAUGUUCUAACGUUGGCCCGUAAUCCGGGUUGCGGACAGUGUCUGGUGGGUAGUUUGACUGGGGCGGUCUCCUCCUAAAGAGUAACGGAGGAGCACGAAGGUUGGCUAAUCCUGGUCGGACAUCAGGAGGUUAGUGCAAUGGCAUAAGCCAGCUUGACUGCGAGCGUGACGGCGCGAGCAGGUGCGAAAGCAGGUCAUAGUGAUCCGGUGGUUCUGAAUGGAAGGGCCAUCGCUCAACGGAUAAAAGGUACUCCGGGGAUAACAGGCUGAUACCGCCCAAGAGUUCAUAUCGACGGCGGUGUUUGGCACCUCGAUGUCGGCUCAUCACAUCCUGGGGCUGAAGUAGGUCCCAAGGGUAUGGCUGUUCGCCAUUUAAAGUGGUACGCGAGCUGGGUUUAGAACGUCGUGAGACAGUUCGGUCCCUAUCUGCCGUGGGCGCUGGAGAACUGAGGGGGGCUGCUCCUAGUACGAGAGGACCGGAGUGGACGCAUCACUGGUGUUCGGGUUGUCAUGCCAAUGGCACUGCCCGGUAGCUAAAUGCGGAAGAGAUAAGUGCUGAAAGCAUCUAAGCACGAA